UACAGAGGUCCCAAGCGUUGUUCGGAUUCAUUGGGCGUAAAGGGUGUGUAGGUGGCGCGCUAAGUCGGGUGUGAAAUUUCGGAGCUUAACUCCGAAACUGCAUUCGAUACUGGCGUGCUUGAGGACUGGAGAGGAGACUGGAAUUCAUGGUGUAGCAGCGAAAUGCGUAGAGAUCAUGAGGAAGACCAGUGGCGAAGGCGGGUCUCUGGACAGUUCCUGACACUGAGGCACGAAGGCCAGGGGAGCAAACGGG
rnacentral:rRNA from 1 species